CCAUUUUCUAGCCACGUACAUUGGUUGUAAGGGACGCCUAGGUACCUACGUGCGGCACGCCGACCCGACGCGCCUUUGAAUAAUUUGAACAGGCCACGUGAGCACGUGAAAAAAUAUCUGAAUUGGUCGCCAUUUUGAAGUCGUUUUACAGCACAUUAGCAGAUAGAAAAUGAAGGAAAAAAGAGACGACACUGUACCCUAGUUGGACAUCAACUUGCUGAUAAAUGCACAGCCAGAGUGAGACAAGGCAGAGUUUCUGUCCGAGCUUGGAUUGGAUAUACCAGCCUGGAUGGGCUUCCUCGCUGCUGGAGAUGUAGACCUGGAUCAAGAUGUCUGGUGAGACAAGCAGAGUUUCUGUCCGAGCUUGGAUUGGAUAUACUAGCCUGGAUGGGCUUCCUCGCUGCUGGAGAUGUAGACCUGGAUCAAGAUGUCUGGUGAGACAAGCAGAGUUUCUGUCCGAGCUUGGAUUGGAUGCCAGCCUGGAUGGGCUUCCCCGCUGCUGGAGAUGUAGACCUGGAUCAAGAUGUCUGGUCGUCUUCAGUCAACUGAACAGCUGUUGGGCAUCCUGGGCAGACACCAUGGCAACUGCUACUGAUGACAGCUCUCUCCCUGAUGAUGUCUGGAUCUGAUGCCAACCUGUGGGACUUGCAGCAUCAAGAUAUGGAUGGAAUCCUUCAGCUCAGCUCUCUCCCUGAUGAUGCCUGGGUCUCAUGCCAACUUGUUGGAAUUGCAGCAUCAAGACAUGGAUGGAAUCCUUCAGCUCAGCUCUCUCCCUCAUGAUGUCUGGAUCUGAUGCCAACCUGUGGGACCCGUGGAAUCCUUCAGCUCAGCCGUUGGGCAUCCUGGGCAGACACCAUGGCAACUGCUACUGAUGACAGCUCUCUCCCUGAUGAUGUCUGGAUCUGAUGCCAACCUGUGGGACUUGCAGCAUCAAGACAUGGAUGGAAUCAUCUUAAGACUAAGGGCAAAUCCAUGGCAAUAGGACACAUAGAUGGUUAAUUACUACAUGAUUAAUUUGUGUACGUUUGAAACACUGAAGUCAAUGAUUCGUGAGUGUUCAAACGGACUGAUUCAAUGACAGAAGCCUUGCUCAAAGUAAAAACAGGACUGGUAUCAAAUAUCCUGUGAAAUUACAUGCUGUAAUUUGUUUACAUUUGCAAAGUGUCAAUAACUUAUUCUUAGUUUAAUUAACAGCCAUCCGUUCAAAAUCGUUUGUUGUAAUGAAUAAAUAAACAAUUCAGUUCCAGCGAUUUCAACUUAAAAUCUACUCAAUAGAAACAGACUUUAUUGACAGUCUUGCCAUGGAUUUGCUCUACUUUAAACCAGGCACAUAUAACCGAAGACCCCCCCCCCCCAAAAAAGCUUGCAAUUUAAACUUGCACAUUAAGUUGUUGGGAAUAUUUUAAGUAACAAAACCAUUUGUUGGUGCCUAAUUUAAAAAAAACAAGCUAUUGUAGUGCAUUUACUAUCCAAAAAUCACCCUCCCCCAAGAACAAGGAAGACUCUUUUGCGCAGCGUAUUGACCAAAACCUACAUGCAUUUACAGAUAUGUGCCUGGUUUCUAUAUAGUUUUUGAGUUGUUGAAAAUGUAUUUAUAAGUAUGUCUAUACCACAGAGCUAUUUUGCAUUACGAGAGCGUUUACUCGGUACAAAGUGAAGCCUGCUGGGCACAUCCAUCAAACCUUAGAAAACUGGAAAGUUUGUACUGCUUUUAAACGGCUAUUUGCAUUUGCAUUCUAUACAUCUGCAUUAUCCAAGACUACAUGCCAAAACCGAAAUGCACUAUCAGUAAAUGAUUAUUAAAUUUUGCUCUGCGCAAACGACGCAAAGGCGUGUGCACAUCAGCAGCUAAUGAUUCUUGCCUUGACGUUUUGUAACCGUCAUGACACGCCUAAGUUCUUUGCGUAUGUCGUACAUGUGCGUUGCAUUUAGAGUACACUUUCAAAUUCACUCCGUCACAUUUCUUUGUUCUACAAACUACAAAUGUCUGCGCGCAGGACGGCUAGAUAGAAUCUGCAUCAGAAUGAGGAGUUAGCGCUCAAGUACUUUAAUAUAGCUCUGUGGUCUACACUAGCACAUCAUAUGCACAAAAUUAUGGCCAUAUUAAAAAAGUGUUUUUCUGAAUAGUUUUUGAGAGGAUCUAUAUUCUGAAAAAAAAGUUCUGCCAAUCGUAACUAGGUGUGAUUAGGAAAGAAAACUUGUGUGUGGUUGCCAAACGGUCGGAGAACAGAAUUUAAAAUAUAGUAUUUAUUAUCGACUGCAUGCAAACAUAGUCAUUACAUUACAUUUGUAUUUGCUGACGUGAACAAAGUUUUUCGCGUGACAUUUUAUUUUACCUUAUAAGGAUGCCAUUACUUCGGCCCAUGAAAACUGCUUCAUUAAUGGUGCGUAUCUGCCUAAAACUACUACAAUUUUCACAUAUCGGCCAUAAUUUUAUUUAUAUGAUGUGCUAAUGUAGUCCUUUCUAUCUGACCUGAAUAAAAAGUUUUGUUGCUUUGUUAGUGCCUUUCUUUAUUUGUCUGUUGUCUACUCCAAGAUAUUGCAGCUCUAAGAAAUGAACAAAAAGUAAUCAAAUCUGUCCAGUUAUCCAGUAAUGCCCCUCUAACUUUCAUCUUAAAAAAAACAAACCCAAAACCCAACAACUUUGGCAAUAUAAUACUUUUAUGUCAUGCUGAUAUGCAAAAUGCUGCUUUGUUGGAGUAGGUAACAGACUUGGUAGUUCUUUUAGGAGAUGGUUCAAUCAUUAAUGGCCGUUUGAGGAAUGGAGCUAUGUUAAAUCACUAGAGAUAAUUCUGUACGCAAAGCAGUAUGUUUGCGCGUUUUGCAACUCUUGCAUUUCUGUUCAAAACAAAUGCGCAUAUGAAAAUAAGCAUUUUAUUUCACUGCGCAAACACAUCCACUUGCGAUUUUAGCACUUGUGAUAAAACCAUGCCUAAGCAGCAGCACUUUUUGCGAAAACCUGCCAAAACAUUAUUCUAUUUACAUGCGCAAAUGACUUGGUACUCUAGUUAUUUAAUAUAGCUCUAAUUUUCAAAAUAUUGAACUGAUAGAGGGCGCUUUUCCCAAGUUAAUGUCUUUAAAUUGUUAAUGUUUGAAUAUUGAGGGCGCUGUUUUGUAAAAUACCAGAAACUAAUAAAGUGCUAAAAACUAGUUGUUUCUUGAACUUGUA